UCUCUCUCUCUCUCUCUCUCUCUCUCUCUCUCUCUCUCUCUCUAAUUGACUCUGUUUUGCUCCGAGAAAAGGGUUAACAUGUUAAGACCAAAAGAAAAGGGAAAACAGAGUAAUAAAGUUUUGUAAAUAUACGACUCCGUUGAUGCGAUCGAAUCGAAAAAUAUAUAAUUGCUCCUGGAGCACCCCCACGCGAUGUAGGUGACACGUGGAUUUUCCGGGGGUGUGUAGAUCGCACAAUAAUGUACGGUGGAGAGAGCACAUGGAACAUCAUGCGAUGGUGCUCGGAUAAUCGCUUUAGAAUCUGGGGUUCUUUGAUUGGAAUGGUCUCUCUUUGGGACUUAGGAAAAGAAAAAGAAAAAUAAGGUAAGUGAUCAAGAGGAAAAUGAGAAGGAAAAUUGAAGAGGAAUUGAUACAAAAAUUGAUCGUUUGUUUUCAAAAGGGCAAAAGAAGCGAAAUUCUCAAGUUUAUUCAACUAAAUUUCCUAUCUGGUAACCGUUUUCAUGAUUAAUUUCGAACAAGAAAUUUUCACUUUCUUUCUUUCUUUUUUUUUUUGGUUGAACGGAAAUAAAGAAUUUUUCACUUUCGCCUAUCUAUAAAAAAAUAAAAUAAAAUAAAAAUCACUUUCGGAAAGUCAACCAAAUGAGAUUGGGGAAAAAUGUUUUGUUAGAACAAUGUUUUACUACUAGUACUAUUUAUUUCCCCGAAAGUUGAAACAGAAUAGAAAACGAAAGCCGUGCCAAAUGGAGUAGUUGAAACUUCCCUUCUGCAAUGGAAAAGAAA